rnacentral:rRNA from 1 species
GAUGAACGCUGGCGGCGUGCUUAACACAUGCAAGUCGAACGGAAAGGCCCAAGCUUGCUUGGGUACUCGAGUGGCGAACGGGUGAGUAACACGUGGGUGAUCUGCCCUUCACUUCGGGAUAAGUCUGGGAAACUGGGUCUAAUACCGGAUAGGACCACCUGCUGCAUGGUGUGGGGUAAAGUUUUUCGGUGUGGGGUGAGGUUGCGGCCUUUCAGCUUGUUGGUGGGGGUAUGGUCUACCAAGGCGGCGGCGGGGAGCCGGCCCGGGGGGGUGGACGGCCCCCUUGGGACUGGGGUUCCGCCCCGACUCCCACCGGGGGGCAGCGUGGGGGAUUUUUCACCAAGGGCGCGAGCCCGAUGCAGCGACGCCGCGGGGGGGGUGGCGGCCUUCCGGUUGGAAACUCCUUUCGGUCUGGACGAAGCGUUAUGUGACGGUACCUGGAGAAGAAGCACCGGCUAACUACGUG